UAUUACUGGCCAUGUAACUGCAUUCACUCACACACUCAAUCUAUCUAUUCAUCAUCAUCAUCUAUCAUCAUCAUCUAUGAAAUACGUGAGAAUUGAUUUUUUUAUUUUAUUGAUCAAAUUGUCUGUUCUGUUUCACCUGGACUGCAGUAGUAGGUAAUACAACUUUCCUUUGCCAGUUAUCUUUAAAGUGAUAAAAUGAUGUUUCAUGUUCAUGUUUAACAUUGCUCGUGUUUUAGGUAUAAUUUUUUCACAGUGAAGAAAUUUAUGUUUGGUGAAGUAGGUAUAAUACAUAUUUUUGUUGCCUCAGGAAAAAGAAGAAGGACACAGAUUCUGACACACACAGUUUAAAUACUGGCAUUGAUUUAAAUGAAGAUAGAAGGAGUAUUGACUUUCCUGUUAACUUCAAAACAAUCCCAGAAUCCAUAGAGGGUGAGGUUAGUGAGAAAUUUUGACAGA